rnacentral:rRNA from 1 species
AUAUCAAUAAGCGGAGGAAAAGAAACUAACAAGGAUUCCCCUAGUAACUGCGAGUGAAGCGGGAAAAGCUCAAAUUUAAAAUCUGAGAGUCUCUUUUGGCUCUCCGAGUUGUAAUCUAGAGAAGUGCUAUCCGCGCUGGACCGUGUACAAGUCUCCUGGAACGGAGCGUCAUAGAGGGUGAGAAUCCCGUCUUUGACACGGACUACCAGGGCUUAUGUGAUGCGCUCUCAAAGUGUCGAGUUGUUUGGGAAUGCAGCUCUAAAUGGGUGGUAAAUUCCAUCUAAAGCUAAAUAUUGGCGAGAGACCGAUAGCGAACAAGUACCGUGAGGGAAAGAUGAAAAGAACUUUGGAAAGAGAGUUAAACAGUAC